GGACAGGUGGCCGAGCGGUCGAAGGCGCUCCCCUGCUAAGGGAGUAGGCGGGAAACCGCCUCGAGGGUUCGAAUCCCUUCCUGUCCGCCA
rnacentral:tRNA from 1 species